AAUAGAUACCCAGGUAGUCCACGCCGUAAACGUUGGGAACUAGAUGUAGGGACCAUUCCACGGUUUCUGUGUCGCAGCUAACGCAUUAAGUUCCCCGCCUGGGGAGUACGGCCGCAAGGCUAAAACUCAAAGGAAUUGACGGGGGCCCGCACAAGCGGCGGAGCAUGCGGAUUAAUUCGAUGCAACGCGAAGAACCUUACCAAGGCUUGACAUAUACGAGAACGGGCCAGAAAUGGUCAACUCUUUGGACACUCGUAAACAGGUGGUGCAUGGUUGUCGUCAGCUCGUGUCGUGAGAUGUUGGGUUAAGUCCCGCAACGAGCGCAACCCUCGUUCUAUGUUGCCAGCACGUAAUGGUGGGAACUCAUAGGAGACUGCCGGGGUCAACUCGGAGGAAGGUGGGGAUGACGUCAAAUCAUCAUGCCCCUUAUGUCUUGGGCUUCACGCAUGCUACAAUGGCCGAUACAAAGGGCUGCAAUACCGCAAGGUGGAGCGAAUCCCAAAAAGUCGGUCUCAGUUCGGAUUGAGGUCUGCAACUCG
rnacentral:rRNA from 1 species